rnacentral:rRNA from 1 species
ACGGAGGGUGCAAGCGUUACUCGGAAUCACUGGGCGUAAAGCGCAUGCAGGCGGCCAAAUAAGUUAGAAGUGAAAUCCUAUGGCUCAACCAUAGAACUGCUUCUAAAACUGUUAGGCUAGAGUCUGGGAGGGGAAGAUGGAAUUAGUAGUGUAGGGGUAAAAUCCGUAGAGAUUACUAGGAAUACCAAAAGCGAAGGCGAUCUUCUGGAACAGUACUGACGCUGAGAUGCGAAAGCGUGGGGAGCAAACAGG